rnacentral:rRNA from 1 species
AUGUGUGGUCACCGAGAGGAGUCACUUCAUCACUCUUUGGUCCUGUGUGAUCACGCAAAACUAUUCUGGAGGGAAGUGGAGAGCUUCUUCGACUUCAAGCUGCCCCGGCUACACCCCGUCACUUGGUCGAGGGAUUUGCUAGAUGCCGGGUUUGUGAGCAAAGACAGAGCGGCCAUCAUUAUCACAGUUAUGUGGGCAAUAUGGUCGAGCAGGAACGAGUAUACCCAUGAGGAGGUUAAGUACCAGCCUGGUCGGUCGAUGGUUCUACUAAAAGAACUUAUUCAGGAUCUAUAUAUUCCGGCCGAUCUUUCUGAUCCUCAGCAGGGGAGAAGUGUGGUAUGGACACCGCCAGAGCCUGGCUGUGUGAAAAUCAACACGGAUGCUGCCGUCGAUGUGAAUGCUGGAACUUCAGCUGUUGGGCUUGUGGCAAGAGAUCCUGGAGGACUAGUGCUAGCCAGAAGUCACAAGUUGAGAGGGGUGACUGAUCCUUAUGUGGCUGAACUGCUAGGAGUUAGAGAGGCUGUGCGUCUAGCUAUGGAGAAGGGCUGGACGCGGGUUACUGUCGAAACGGACUGCCAAACUGUCACGGAGGAAUGGGUGGCGACGACGUGCAGAUCGAUGGGAAGCCCAGUCAUCAGCGAAAUCAAAACAUAUCUCCAAAAUUUUCAGGAGCUAUGCAUCAAUUAUGUAAGGAGAGAGGCAAACCAAGCUGCUCAUUGGUGUGCCCAGGAGGGCCUUAGAGGUGCCUCGGAUGUCAUUUCUUAUGAUGUAUUCCCUGUCUUUUUGAUUGCCUUAGUGCAAUCUGAUGUAAACCGAGUCAGAAUUGAGUAA